UUUACUUUUCAUUCAUAUAUAAUAUGAACAUAUAAUUAUUGACAAUAAUGCACCUCACACUAAAUUAUGAUUAAUAUUAUUGUUUAUUUGGAGCUGUAUAUUAUUUCCUUUACUUUUCUUUCUAGGUUUAUUUCUCACUAUAUAUCAACUACUCAUGUCUAUCCAAGUAGAAUCUUGUUAUGCCUUUUCUCACUAGUAAAUUAUAUGGUGUAUAUUAUUGUAGGAUCUACUUGUAGCAGGUACAGAUACAACAACAUAUGGAUUAGAAAGAGCAAUGACUGAAGUACUCCACAAUCCAGAGGUUAUGUCCAAAGCCAAACAAGAGUUGGAACAAAACAUUGGAAGAGGGAAUGUGAGAAUUCGUAAGGCUUGUCAAAAAGAAGAUGGCAAAAUUUUGGCGGAAGAUAUUUUGAAAUUAGGCAGCCAAAAAGAAGAUACACAGGGAGAAACAAGAUCAUAAUAUUUUGUUAUUUUCUUACUUUCAAAGUAUUAGCCAAGCUAGUUACCUUGUUAGAAAUUGGAGCCAAUCUAAGUGAAGACAUUUAGAAUUAAA